UGGGGAAUUUUGGACAAUGGGCGCAAGCCUGAUCCAGCCAUGCCGCGUGCGGGAAGAAGGCCUUCGGUUGUAAACCGCUUUGUCAGGGAAGAAAUCUUCUGAGUUAAUACCUCGGGAGGAUGACGGUACCUGAAGAAUAAGCACCGGCUAACUACGUGCCAGCAGCCGCGGUAAUACGUAGGGUGCAAGCGUUAAUCGGAAUUACUGGGCGUAAAGCGUGCGCAGGCGGUUUUGUAAGACAGAAGUGAAAUCCCCGGGCUCAACCUGGGAACUGCCUUUGUGACUGCAAGGCUUGAGUGCGGCAGAGGGGGAUGGAAUUCCGCGUGUAGCAGUGAAGUGCGUAGAUAUGCGGAGG
rnacentral:rRNA from 1 species